rnacentral:rRNA from 1 species
GUAGGGGGCAAGCGUUGUCCGGAUUUAUUGGGCGUAAAGAGCGUGUAGGCGGCCAGGUAGGUCCGUUGUGAAAACUCGAGGCUUAACCUCGAGACGUCGAUGGAAACCAUCUGGCUAGAGUCCGGAAGAGGAGAGUGGAAUUCCUGGUGUAGCGGUGAAAUGCGCAGAUAUCAGGAAGAACACCCGUGGCGAAGGCGGCUCUCUGGGACGUGACUGACGCUGAGACGCGAAAGCGUGGGGAGCAAACAGGAUUAGAUACCCUGGUAGUCCACGCCGUAAACGAUGGGUGCUAGGUGUGGGCGGUGUCGACUCCGUCCGUGCCGAAGCUAACGCAUUAAGCACCCCGCCUGGGGAGUACGGCCGCAAGGCUAAA